CGGAUGACAAAGGAUCCAGGAGUCUCGUCGAUCGAUUCGAAGGCUCACAAUCGUGAGCAUGUUUUAUUUAUCGGAAUAAUUCAGAAAGAACGUGGGGGUUGUUCAACGAGUUACUCGCUGACCACGAAUAAAUGCGAAGAAGAAGACAACAACGAACAACGACGUAACAACGACAUAGACGACCACCACCACGACAAAUAUAAGAAGGAGGGAAAGGAUCGAGUUUCGGCGCAAUCUCCUAACGGUCCUCGUUUCUACGGACAAUGAAAUACCUCUGAAAAUAUGUAAUAUUAUCGUCAACAACCAAGGUGGACCUUUUGUAAGAAACCAGUCGCUUGCUCGCUAGCAUCGUUCAAAUGGAAUUACGUUGCGUUGCGAGAAGCAAGAACGAGAAACUCUCGAUUCGCGUCGUACGUCUAGCGGUGCUUAUACUCAACGUUUACGAGCAACCUCGUCUGAAUAUCUAAUUGUUCUAGUUGUUGAAAGAAGAAAAAAGAAAAAGAAAAAGUAAGAAA
rnacentral:lncRNA from 1 species